rnacentral:sRNA from 1 species
GCUGGGCAUGGUGGUACACACCUGUAAUCCCAGUGGCUGGGAGGCUGAGGCAGGAGAAUUGUGAUUUCAAAGCCAGCCUCAGCAAAAGCAAGGUGUUAAGCAACUCAGGGAGAUCCUGCCUCUA